GGGACGAAAGGGUGGACAAGGCUGUCCGAGGUGCCGAAGAACCUCAACCUGACUGGCAGACACAUGAUGUAAGAAUAAUUAGAUCAUGUGAUGAUUACUUGGUGGCAAGGCGAUGGUUAAAAAAGUAUGUCCUGUGACACAUCCGAUCUCCAUUCAGAAGAGGAGGCAAUUCCUAAAAGGAGAAAGCCAAUGCCUGUGACAGCGAACAAGCCAGGGGUACACACCAACCUGGCGAGGGGCGAGGUGUGGUUCAGAUGCCAUUGCCUGCUGUGGUGAUGUCAAAUCUCUUAAUCGUUACCUUUUUAAAAUGUUAUUCUAAUGUUUUUUAUAGCUGCUCAAGUUUAAAUCCUGGCCAUGCUGGAGAUGCUUACACAGCAGGUCCAUCAAUUAACUGGCAAAGUUGACAGCUUUGUUCGCCCCAGUGUGACACAAAUGUCUGGUCAAGAAGUGGAGUGGAGAGACCCGUUUCCGUUGACCACAAUGGAGGAAGUGGACCUGUUUGAGCAACAGCUCAAAGAUCCAGCCAACGCUAUAAUGAAGA